rnacentral:rRNA from 1 species
GUAGGUGGCAAGCGUUGUCCGGAAUUAUUGGGCGUAAGGCGCGCGCAGGCGGUCCUUUAAGUCUGAUGUGAAAGCCCACGGCUCAACCGUGGAGGGUCAUUGGAAACUGGGGGACUUGAGUACAGAAGAGGAAAGCGGAAUUCCAAGUGUAGCGGGAAAUGCGUAGAGAUUUGGAGGAACACCAGUGGCGAAGGCGGCUUUCUGGUCUGUAACAGACGCUGAGGCGCGAAAGCGUGGGGAGCAACCAGGAUUAGAUACCCUGGUAGUCCACGCCGUAAACGAUGAGUGCUAAGUGUUAGGGGGUUUCCCGCCCCCUUAGUGCUGCAGCUAACGCAUUAAGCACUCCGCCUGGGGAGUACGGCCGCAAGGCUG